rfam:Myotis lucifugus cont2.5019, whole genome shotgun sequence.
GGCGGUUCUCGGGGGAUGCACCCCAAAAUCGGGCUCCCUCCUCUCUGGUUCUGAUGCAUUACCUGAGAACUGCA